CCCAAAUGUUUGGGUAGUAACCCGAAUUAUAACUGGUUGGGUUGGUAAAUAUCAGAAAUCGUCAAAGUUUUAUGGUCUUUACCUAAUUUUUGGAUUAAAAGAAAAGACAAAAAAUAAAU
rnacentral:sRNA from 1 species